rnacentral:rRNA from 1 species
GACAGAGGGUGCGAACGUUUGUUCGGAAUUACUGGGCGUAAAGCGCGUGUAGGCUGCUCUGAAAGUCGGAUGUGAAAGCCCUGGGCUCAACCCAGGAAGUGCACUCGAUACUACAGAGCUCGAGUCCCGGAGAGGAAGGCGGAAUUCUCGGUGUAGAGGUGAAAUUCGUAGAUAUCGAGAGGAACACCUGUGGCGAAGGCGGCCUUCUGGACAGUGACUGACGCUGAGACGCGAAAGCGUGGGGAGCAAACAGG